UACGAAGGGGGCUAGCGUUGCUCGGAAUGACUGGGCGUAAAGGGCGCGUAGGCGGUUCGUACAGUCAGACGUGAAAUUCCCGGGCUCAACCUGGGGGCUGCGUUUGAUACGUGCGGGCUUGAGUUCGGAAGAGGGUCGUGGAAUUCCCAGUGUAGAGGUGAAAUUCGUAGAUAUUGGGAAGAACACCGGUGGCGAAGGCGGCGACCUGGGUCGAUACUGACGCUGAGGUGCGAAGGCGUGGGGAGCAAACAGG
rnacentral:rRNA from 1 species